rnacentral:rRNA from 1 species
CCUACGGGUGGCAGCAGUGGGGAAUAUUGCACAAUGGGGGAAACCCUGAUGCAGCGACGCCGCGUGAGUGAAGACGUAAUUCGUUAUGUAAAGCUCUAUCAGCAGGGAAGAAAAUUACGGUACCUGAGUAAGAAGCCCCGGCUAACUACGUGCCAGCAGCCGCGGUAAUAAGUAGGGGGCAAGCGUUAGCCGGAUUUACUGGGUGGAAAGGGAGCGUAGACGGCAUUGCAAGGCUGGAGUGAAAGGCGGGGGCUCAACCCCCGGAAUGCGCUGGAAACUGUACGGCUGGAGUGCAGGAGAGGUAAGUGGAAUUCCUAGGGUAGCGGUGAAAUGCGUAGAUAUUAGGAGGAACACCAGUGGCGAAGGCGGCUUACUGGACUGUAACUGACGUUGAGGCUCGAAAGCGUGGGGAGCAAACAGGAUUAGAUACCCCUGUAGUC